CUGAUGCAGCCAUGCCGCGUGUGUGAAGAAGGCCUUCGGGUUGUAAAGCACUUUCAGUUGUGAGGAAAAGUUAGUAGUUAAUACCUGCUAGCCGUGACGUUAACAACAGAAGAAGCACCGGCUAACUCCGUGCCAGCAGCCGCGGUAAUACGGAGGGUGCGAGCGUUAAUCGGAAUUACUGGGCGUAAAGCGCACGCAGGCGGUUUGUUAAGCUAGAUGUGAAAGCCCCGGGCUCAACCUGGGAUGGUCAUUUAGAACUGGCAGACUAGAGUCUUGGAGAGGGGAGUGGAAUUCCAGGUGUAGCGGUGAAAUGCGUAGAUAUCUGGAGGAACAUCAGUGGCGAAGGCGACUCCCUGGCCAAAGACUGACGCUCAUGUGCGAAAGUGUGGGUAGCGAACAGGAUUAGAUACCCUGGUAGUCCACACCGUAAACGCUGUCUACUAGCUGUGUGUGUCUUUAAGGCGUGCGUAGCGAAGCUAACGCGCUAAGUAGACCGCCUGGGGAGUACGGCCGCAAGGUUAAAACUCAAAUG
rnacentral:rRNA from 1 species